UAUUUUACACAAGGACUGCAAUGUGGUGUUAAAGAAUAAGGUCAGACUUGGAAAGAGAUUUAAAAGGUAUUUACAGCUGCAAAUGAUUUAAUGAUUCAGCAAUAAGGUGUAACAAUACUUUCAUAGCAUGGUGAAUGUCUAAGGCUAUUGUCUGAUUUCGUUUGAACUCUUUGAUCAGUGGUGCUUUCACACUCAAGGUGGCACCAGUUUCCAGCUACACAGGUUUCAUAUUGUCAUAGUCUUAGCACUUGAAUACAUAGAUAUGAUCCAUGACUCUUAUUCGUUUUUAAGAUUAAUAAUGAUUAUCUGAUUAACUAUGGCCACGGAAGAUUGAAGCUCACGUAUUGAA